rnacentral:tRNA from 1 species
AAGGGAGACCUAAUUCAGGUAGGAGACGAAAAAAAAGUAGUCCCUACCAAGAAUCAAUCCCAAAAGGUCGGAGCGAGGCAAAAUUGGCUUUCAAACUAGGUUCUGGGUUCACACAAGACCUGAAUCAGGAACAAGGGCUAUUAGCUCAGGUGGUUAGAGCGCACCCCUGAUAAGGGUGAGGUCCCUGGUUCGAGUCCAGGAUGGCCCACCUGUACAGGUGGCAAAAAAAAAGAAAAGAAGCGAGGAAUCAGCACCUUAUCUUACUUAUAUAGUAAGAGAGAAUGCUGGCUCUGAGUUCAGAGUCCAGAGGAACCUUGAGAACUGCAUAGAGCUAGGUGAAAAAGCCAAAAAAGAAGACCGCAA